rnacentral:lncRNA from 1 species
CUGGCCUUUUCCCCUGAAAUUGUUAAGGUGACUGCUGGGCAGACGUGAUGUCCUCUCAGUGACCACACAGCACGUCCUAAGCCCAGACCACUGUGUGCUUCAUGAAAGAAGCUUGACCAGCUUAGAAACACUUGACCAAUGUUCCAGCUUCCAAAGCUUAAUGGAAACAUAUGGCUACCCAUCACUGGAAGUGGCAGAUGUCACCUGAGUCAGCUGCCAGGAAUUUCAUCCUUGCCUCCUUCCUGUGGAGCCCCCAGCCUCACAAAAGACCCCAGGAGGAGGAAAUGAGACUGCAAACCACCGAGCUCAGCUCUGCUGGACUCUCACUUGAGAAAGACAGAUGAGGUGUGUGGGAACGUGAGGGCACGCUGGAGCUGG